AGUAUUCCCCACGAGUAUAACUCAAAAUGAAUUGACGGGGGCCCGCUCACACGCUGGAGCAUGUGUUUUAAUUUGAUGCAACGCGAAGAGCCUUUCUUGGUCUUGACAUCCACAGAACUUUCCAGAGAUGGAUUGGUGCGCUCGGGAACUGUGAGACACAUGCUGCACGGCUGUCGUCAGCUCGUGUUGUGAAAUAUUGGGUUAAGUCCCGCAACGAGCGCAACCCUUUUCCUUUUUUGCCAGCGGUUUGGCCGGGAAAUCAAAGGAGACUGCCAGUGAUAAACUGGAGGAAGGUGGGGAGGAGGUCAAGUCAUCAUGGCCCUUACGACCAGGGCUACACACGUGUUACACUGGCGCAUACAAAGAGAAGCGACCUCGCGAGAGCAAGCGGACCUCAUAAAGUGCGUUGUAGUCCGGAUUGGAGUGUGCAACUCGAGUCCAUGAAGUCGGAGUCGCUAGUAAUCGUAGAUCAGAAUGGUACGGUGAAUACGUUUCCGGGCCUUGUACCCCCCCCCCGUCCCCCCCUGGGAAUUGGUUGCACAAACGAAGUAGGU
rnacentral:rRNA from 1 species